AGUGAACGCUGGCGGUAGGCCUAACACAUGCAAGUCGAACGGCAGCACAGUAAGAGCUUGCUCUUACGGGUGGCGAGUGGCGGACGGGUGAGGAAUACAUCGGAAUCUACUUUUUCGUGGGGGAUAACGUAGGGAAACUUACGCUAAUACCGCAUACGACCUACGGGUGAAAGCAGGGGAUCUUCGGACCUUGCGCGAUUGAAUGAGCCGAUGUCGGAUUAGCUAGUUGGCGGGGUAAAGGCCCACCAAGGCGACGAUCCGUAGCUGGUCUGAGAGGAUGAUCAGCCACAAUGGAACUGAGGCACGGGCCAGACUCCUACGGGAGGCAGCAGUGGGGAAUAUUGGACAAUGGGCGGAAGCCUGAUCCAGCCAUACCGCGUGGGUGAAGAAGGCCUUCGGGUUGUAAAGCCCUUUUGUUGGGAAAGAAAAGCAGCAGGUUAAUACCCCGCUGUUCUGACGGUACCCAAAGAAUAAGCACCGGCUAACUUCGUG
rnacentral:rRNA from 1 species